rnacentral:rRNA from 1 species
UUUAAAAAAAUUUGUUUAAGUUGACGUAUUGUGAAAGAAUGUUUUGUUAGUUUUUGAAUAAUAAACUGAUAAGGUUAAUUUAGAUAGAUAAUAGAAGAGUUUAAGGUUUUUACUUUUUGUAUAAUGGUUUAUAAAUUUUUGAAUUGAAUUAAUGUUCCUGAAAGUAUUUGAGCUACAUUUGUUGAUGUUAAAUGUUUUAUAAUUUAUAAAAAGAUAAAUGUAGAAAUGAAAUGUUUUUCGAAAUUACUGAUAGCUGGUUUAGAGAAAAAUAUAUUUUCGUAUAGAUUUAAAAGUUUUCCUGAAAUAAGGAAAUUUUAGUAUUUAUCUAUAAAGGGAUAAGCUUUUGUAGAGAUAGAAAGAAAAGGAGUAGUUAAACGUUUUAUAGAGUUGAUAUUGCUAAUUGUUGUAAAUGUUUUCAUAAAAAUAUGUUGAUUAUUAGUUUUGGUUGAGUAUCUUUAAGUUUUUAAGAAUUUUUUGUUAUUAAUAAGUAUAGAAUUAGUAAUAUAUGAGUUAUUAUCCUGGUAAAAAUAAAUUGGGAGAAUGUAAAAGUUAAGUUUUAUAGAUUUAUUAAAAAUGAAUUCGGCAAAAGUUUUUUACGCCUGUUUAACAAAAACAUGGCCUUUUGGUUUUAAUUUGAUAAAAGGUUUGACCUGCCCGGUGAUUUUGAAAAGUUUAACGGCUGCGGUUUUGUACUAAGGUAGCAUAAUAAUUUGCCUUUUAAGUGGGGGAUGGAAUGAAUGGUUGGAUGGUAAAGAAGCUGUGUUUUUGAUAUUUGGUGAAGUUUACUUUAAAGUGAAAAGGCUUUAAUUGUUUUAAAAGACGAGAAGACCCCGUCGAGCUUGAUUUAAAGUUUUGUUUUGGUGGUGAGUAAGGUUUUAAAGUUUUGUUGGGGCAAUAAUAACAGAUAAACGUUGUUUAAUUUUGAAUUUUGAUCCAGUAAGAUUGAAAAAAGAAAAAGCUACCGCGGGGAUAACAGGGUAAUUUUUUUUGAGAGUUCAAAUCUAAAAUAGAGAUUGCUACCUCGAUGUUGGAUUAGGGUAAUUUUAUGCUUGCAGAAGGUAUAAGAAUAGGACUGUUCGUCCUUUAAAACCCUACAUGAUCUGAGUUCAGACCGGUGAAAACUAGGUCGGUUUCUAUCUUUAUUUUAUUAAGUUUUUGUACGAAAGGAUCAAGCUUAAUGGUUAAACUUUUAUUGAAGUACCAAAUUUUUUGGUA